UGCAGGCUGCUGGUAACACCUCUAUCUCCAAAGAGCAACUCAUCAGCUCGGAACUGAUGGUGCUGAAAACCCUCAACUUCAGUUUGAGUACGACAAAUCCACUGACAUACGUCGAGACACUUCUGGAAGUCUUAUGUCACAAUGAGAGCUCGCUGGCGGUAGAAGACAUGUACCACUUGUGUAAGACAGUGCUGCAGUUCACAUUUCUCCAAAGGACGUCCAUCUACCAAGCACUACUCCGAGUUGUCACUAGGGGCAGUAGCCCACCACAGGAGCACAGAGAGAAGUUUGUGGCUGUGACAGAGGACUGCAUGCUCCUUGGUGUUGGAGUCCUUGCUGUGGCUGCCUUCAUCCUUGACUUCUCUACCUGGGAACAGGUGACACUUAACAUGUAUCCUCAAUUA